rnacentral:tRNA from 1 species
CAAAAUGUAGCUUAACUAAAGCCCCUCGCUUACACCGAGAUAAUAUCCGUUAAACUCAGAUCAUUUUG